AGGAAUUUUCCGCAAUGGGCGAAAGCCUGACGGAGCGACGCCGCGUGUGGGAAGAAGGCCUUCGGGUCGUAAACCACUGUCGAAGGGGAAGAUAUUGACGGUACCCUUGGAGGAAGCCCCGGCUAACUACGUGCCAGCAGCCGCGGUAAGACGUAGGGGGCGAGCGUUAUUCGGAAUUAUUGGGCGUAAAGCGCUCGUAGGCGGGGUCGAAAGUCCGUAAAGAAAGACCUGAGCUCAACUCAGGGAACGGUACGGAUACUUCGACUCUUGAGGCAAUCAGAGGGUGAUGGAAUUCCCGGUGUAGCUGUGAAAUGCGUAGAUAUCGGGAGGAACACCAGUGGCGAAGGCGAUCACCUGGGGUUGAACUGACGCUGAGGAGCGAAAGCUAGGGGAGCAAACG
rnacentral:rRNA from 1 species